UACGUAGGGUGCAAGCGUUAAUCGGAAUUACUGGGCGUAAAGCGUGCGCAGGCGGUUUGGUAAGCCAGAUGUGAAAUCCCCGGGCUUAACCUGGGAAUGGCAUUUGGGACUGCAAGGCUAGAGUGUGUCAGAGGGGGGUAGAAUUCCACGUGUAGCAGUGAAAUGCGUAGAUAUGUGGAGGAAUACCGAUGGCGAAGGCAGCCCCCUGGGAUAACACUGACGCUAAUGCACGAAAGCGUGGGGAGCAAACAGG
rnacentral:rRNA from 1 species